AUAUUGCACAAUGGGCGCAAGCCUGAUGCAGCGACGCCGCGUGGGGGAUGACGGCCUUCGGGUUGUAAACUCCUUUCGCUAGGGACGAAGCUUUUUGUGACGGUACCUAGAUAAGAAGCACCGGCUAACUACGUGCCAGCAGCCGCGGUAAUACGUAGGGUGCGAGCGUUGUCCGGAAUUACUGGGCGUAAAGGGCUCGUAGGUGGUUUGUCGCGUCGUCUGUGAAAUUCCGGGGCUUAACUCCGGGCGUGCAGGCGAUACGGGCAUAACUUGAGUACUGUAGGGGUAACUGGAAUUCCUGGUGUAGCGGUGAAAUGCGCAGAUAUCAGGAGGAACACCGAUGGCGAAGGCAGGUUACUGGGCAGUUACUGACGCUGAGGAGCGAAAGCAUGGGUAGCGAACAGGAUUAGAUACCCUGGUAGUCCAUGCCGUAAACGGUGGGCGCUAGGUGUGAGGGUCUUUUCACGACUUUCGUGCCGUAGCUAACGCAUUAAGCGCCCCGCCUGGGGAGUACGGCCGCAAGGCUAAAACUCAAAGGAAUUGACGGGGGCCCGCACAAGCGGCGGAGCAUGUGGAUUAAUUCGAUGCAACGCGAAGAACCUUACCUGGGCUUGACAUACACCGGAUCGGGCUAGAGAUAGUCUUUCCCUUUGUGGCUGGUGUACAGGUGGUGCAUGGUUGUCGUCAGCUCGUGUCGUGAGAUGUUGGGUUAAGUCCCGCAACGAGCGCAACCCUUGUCUUAUGUUGCCAGCAUUUGGUUGGGGACUCAUGAGAGACUGCCGGGGUCAACUCGGAGGAAGGUGGGGAUGACGUCAAAUCAUCAUGCCCCUUAUGUCCAGGGCUUCACACAUGCUACAAUGGUCGGUACAACGCGCAGCGACACUGUGAGGUGGAGCGAAUCGCUGAAAGCCGGCCUUAGUUCGGAUUGGGGUCUGCAACUCGACCCCAUGAAGUCGGAGUCGCUAGUAAUCGCAGAUCAGCAACGCUGCGGUGAAUACGUUCCCGGGCCUUGUACACACCGCCCGUCACGUCAUGAAAGUUGGUAACACCCGAAGCCGGUGGCCCAAACUUGUUAGGGAGCCGUCGAAGGUGGGAUCGGCGAUUGGGACGAAGUCGUAACAAGGUACCCGUACCGGAAGGUGCGGGUGGAUCACCU
rnacentral:rRNA from 1 species